rnacentral:rRNA from 1 species
UACGUAGGGUCCGAGCGUUGUCUGGAAUUAUUGGGCGUAAAGGGCUCGUAGGCGGUUCGUCACGUCGGGAGUGAAACUCGGAGCUCAACUCCGAGCCUGCUUCCGAUACGGGCAGACUAGAGUUCGGCAGGGGAGACUGGAAUUCCUGGUGUAGCGGUGAAAUGCGCAGAUAUCAGGAGGAACACCGGUGGCGAAGGCGGGUCUCUGGGCCGAUGACUGACGCUGGAGGAGCGAAAGCCAGGG